GGUGAUGCAGGUUGCAGUG
rnacentral:miRNA from 1 species